UCCAGUCAAGCACUUUCUGUGUUUCCUUUGCUAAUUCUGGAACUAAGUGUAUUUGAAUAGAAACGUAUCUCCUUAACCUUUGUUUGGCAGUCUGCAGUGAUCUUAUGUACUAUGUUUGCAAAAUGAGAUUUGUUGCUACAGAUUUACUGCAGGGUCAAGUAUAAUGAAAAACUAUGUUGAGAGAAAGCCAAAGCCUCCUUUAAACACAGAUGUCCUAAAUAUUACAGAUGUCUUCCAUGCUUUGCAAGUAGAGAAGGGGACUGGAUAGCUGAUGAGUUUGAUAACGAUGAUCAGCCUUUCGCUGUUAGAUCAUCAGUCCCAAGCAAGCAAAAAUGGAUGUCAUUUUACAAAGCACUUUGGAACACCUUACAUUUGAGAUGAGUUGCAACUUCCUUUAUAAUAAAAUGAGUGUUGUGAAGAGCACCACCUUGUGCACAGAAAGCAAAAAGCAUUUAGUGUUACAAUCAAUAGCGUGAAGUGACUGCUGAGGAACUCUGAUUUAUUGAGAUGAAUCUACAUGAGCUCAUUGAAAAAGUGCAUGAGAAGCAAAAACGUAUUUUUGUCACCCAUCCUUUGCACGCAUUUUGCAUAAGCCAGGUAAGAUGUUCAAAAUUGGUGCUCGUUUCCUGAUUCUUAAUAUUGUUUUGCAUAGUUAUUUGAACUUAAAGCAGAUACUUUUCCAAUGCAGUUUGGAAGCAGUAUAUGACAAAUCAAUAUCACUCAAGCUGUUACCAUAAUCAGUCUUUGAAUAUACCACAAUUCUUUGUCUCGUGAAAGAGAUAAUUAGGAAAAAGACACAAAUCAGAACAGUGCUGAAAAAGCUUUGGGUAAUUUCUCAAUGAACAAGAAGGGAAGCUCACCAGAGAACAGAUGAAAAACAUGGAAAGGGAAGUAGUUUAGGCAAAUUCAAAGGCAAUAAAUUCAUACCUUUCAAAAAUGCGGAUGAUCUGUCAAUACUCUUCUACAGAAGCCCCUCAACCACUAUAGGAAAGAAAGACUACAUUGGUCAUUCUAUGCAUAUCCUUGUGCUAGACUAGAUGGAUCUUUUUCUCCCAUGAAAUUGCUCAUGUUCAGGAAGAUACAAUUCAUUUCUUAAGUGAUGGGGGUUUUUUGUUUGUUUGUUUGUUUUUGUUUUCCCCAGUACAUUGAAAUGCCGUAGAGGUCCUAAUGUUUCUUCUUAACUGCCCAGAAACACAUUAGUAAGCAAUCUUCUUUUAUAUGUAGAAACUGUAUGGUUAAUAUUUGUUCAUGUAUAAAGUCAAUCAAUUAUACAAUCUGGUAAAUAUACUAUUUUAAA